ensembl:lncRNA
CACCAAGCAGGUUGGACAUUUACCAGUAAAUGUUGAUCUUACAAGUGCAACACUACGCAUUGAGUAGUUGUGACAAAGCCUCUAAUAUAUCCGAUGCCACUCUUUGCAGUCAUUGAGAAAUUUGGUCUGCACCCUGACACUGAGGUCAUUUACAAAGAUUCCUCGAUAACAGAAGUGGACCCGGACAUCUUUUCCAAACUGUUGAAUAAAGGAGAGGAUUUGUUGAAGGUCUCUGUGAAUGAUGGAUCCUACCCUUCAGAUGCCUCCACAAUCGUGCUGAAUGAAAGACAGGGUGAGACCACAAGCAAGAAAAUAGGAAAAGAUGACCGAAGGAGCAAAGAAGCAGACAAAAAUAUGGUCACUGAAGUUUUUCAAACAAAGCCGAGGGGGAGAAAAUCUUUCAAAAAACAAAGUCACUGUCAGAUGGAACCAGACGACAGCUUGUGAAUAUGUUGGUUGCUGAUAUGGUGGAGGUGCAUGGACGGAGGCUGUACGAAUCAACUAUGCCCAAGGUAUUGUGGCCUUGUUCCCAUAUCUAGAGGACCCAUUGGUGAAGCAUGGAUAUGUACUUUUGUUCAUGUGGACUGCAGUUAAUAAAGCUUUGUCAAAACAAUUAACUGAAUGCUACCAGUUUUUUUUAUACUUUCCACAGGAACACUUCUAUGAUCCAGUGUCGGGUUCCGGGUACCUUUCUUGGCGUCUUAAGACUGGGCAACAAAGUUUAUUUGAUCAGUCUAGGUCUUGGUUGGCAGAUGAACAGUGCAAUGCUGGUCCAAAAGCUGUAAGAGGCUCAGCUAUUGCCGUAAAACAACUGACUGAUAAUGAGUGUGAAGAAGCAAUAG